rnacentral:lncRNA from 1 species
AAAUUUGCACGAAUUGCCAAAAAAAAUAUGUAUUCGAGCUUGGCCAAAAAAAAAAACACUUUACUUUUGUUGACUUUUUUAGUUUAUUAAGCAACUUAGGAUUGACUGGCCAUAUUAACACACCGUGAACCUACAGUUAAGACAACGUUAACUAGAUGUUAAAUAUUGGCGUUAAGUGAAACGACGUUGUUUUCAAAUGAGAUGAAACGACGUCGUUUUACAUGAUUUUAAAAUAAAAAGGAGUAGAUACUUGGUUUUGAACUCAGGUUGGUUGGGAUAAAUAGCAAGGCAUUUUACAACUGGGCUAAUUACACUUUCAAUGAGGUUACAAACACAUUUAAUUUUAUUUGGUACUGAUUGAAUAUAAAAAUAAUCUCUACAAAUUUAAAAAGAUCUUUAAAAUUCCAAAAAAUAUAAAAAGUUCCAGAAAAAGUAAUAUUAAAAUUAAAUUAUAAAUAUCUUUUUUUUGUUCAAAAUGAAAAAAUUCCAAAAUAAUUUUUAAAAAAAUUCCAAAAAAUUU